rnacentral:rRNA from 1 species
AGCUCCAAUAGCGUAUAUUAAAGUUGCUGCAGUUAAAAAGCUCGUAGUUGCAUUUCCGAGGCAAGGGAUUAGUCCGACCUUUGGUGGGUAUUUAAUCCUCUUGCCUCGUCCUUGAGUGGUGCUUCUUGGUAUUAAGUUAUCGAGGAGAUAGCCGCUCAUCGUUUACUGUGAGAAAAUUAGAGUGUUCAAAGCAGGCUUAUGCCGUUGAAUAUAUUAGCAUGGAAUAAUAAGAUAGGACCUCGGUACUAUUUUGUUGGUUUGAGAACCAAGGUAAUGAUUAAUAGGGACAGUUGGGGGUAUUCGUAUUCAGUUGUCAGAGGUGAAAUUCUUAGAUUUACGGAAGACGAACUACUGCGAAAGCAUUUUCCAAGGAUGUUUUCA